rnacentral:rRNA from 1 species
AUGCUCUUUGCGGAUGAUGUGGUGCUAGUUGACGAUAGUCGGACGGGGGUAUAUAGGAAGUUAGAGUUAUGGAGACAAACCUUGGAAUCGAAAGGGUUUAGGCUUAGUAGAACUAAAACCGAGUACAUGAUGUGCGGUUUCAGUACUACUAGAUGUGAGGAGGAGGAGGUUAGCCUUGAUGGCCAGGUGGUACCUUGGAAGGACACCUUUCGGUAUUUGGGGUCAAUGUUGCAGGAGGAUGGGGGUAUUGAUGAAGAUGUGAACCAUCGAAUCAAAGCCGGAUGGAUGAAGUGGCGCCAAGCUUCUGGCAUUCUCUGUGACAAGAGAGUGCCACAAAAGCUAAAAGGCAAGUUCUACAAGACAGCGGUUCGACCCUCAAUGUUUUAUGGCGCGGAGUGUUGGCCGACUAAAAGGUGA